rnacentral:rRNA from 1 species
GUGGGGAAUAUUGGACAAUGGGGGGAACCCUGAUCCAGCCAUGCCGCGUGUGUGAAGAAGGCCUUAUGGUUGUAAAGCACUUUAAGCGAGGAGGAGGCUCUUUUGGUUAAUACCCAAGAUGAGUGGACGUUACUCGCAGAAUAAGCACCGGCUAACUCUGUGCCAGCAGCCGCGGUAAUACAGAGGGUGCAAGCGUUAAUCGGAUUUACUGGGCGUAAAGCGCGCGUAGGCGGCCAAUUAAGUCAAAUGUGAAAUCCCCGAGCUUAACUUGGGAAUUGCAUUCGAUACUGGUUGGCUAGAGUGUGGGAGAGGAUGGUAGAAUUCCAGGUGUAGCGGUGAAAUGCGUAGAGAUCUGGAGGAAUACCGAUGGCGAAGGCAGCCAUCUGGCCUAACACUGACGCUGAGGUGCGAAAGCAUGGGGAGCAAACAGGAUUAGAAACCCCAGUAGUCC